rnacentral:lncRNA from 1 species
UAUAGGAAAUUUAACACCGGGAGGAAAUGAUCAGAACACCUGGUGUCUGGGGUGAAACUAAGGCUUAAAUCCUAGGUAGGAUGCCUGGGACCACACUAAACAAUUUACCCCUAUUCCCUGGUUUUCAUACAGUUCCUUCUAUUCAAUAAAAGCAAUCUAUUGCUAAUACUGCUUAGACUGACAUAGAUACUGCGUCCCCAGUUUGGGCGAAAACAUACAUAAAUUCAUUUUCCCUUUUUCUCUUACUCCUUGGAGUUUUUCUCCAGUUACCAGCUACGCAAACACAAAGGGACCAGAAAGCAGCGCGGUCGCCCUCACAAGCACCGCACAUUGAUCGCAGGCUCGGAUCCUGCAGCGCCCAUGCACUCACUCCUGCCCAAACUGUGUCCCUGAACACACAACGUUCUCGAACGAUGUGGCAAAAUCCCACAGCAGAGCAUAUCGGUAAGUGACAAAACAAAAGCGAAAACCCCGCAAGAGAAGAAUGAAAACAGGGCUGAUGCCCACCUGCAGCCAUCAGGCAACACAAACCGCGGCGGGACAGCUCGGUGUCCUGCCAGCCUGACGGUCACUCACCUCACGCUGCAACUCACAGAGCCCGGCACAAAGCACGUGGGGCACCAAGUCCACCCGCAGACAUGCACAACCCCAACUGUCCAGACUCCAAGCACAAGCGGUCCGAGCAGGAAACUACAUCUGGAUCCAAGAAGUUGUGCGCCCCUAGGUCACUUCCGGUUGUUUUGUAAUGGUUAUCACGGCUUACACGCCUCCCACUUCGGGGACGGCGCGCAUGCGCGCUACCACUGGCAGAGAUAAAUCUUGCCAAUACUUACUAUGGCUCAUCUAGUGGUUCUUGCUCUUUCAGAAAGUACCAUGGCUGCACUCACGCUCCAGUGAUAAGGAAGCUACCAUCAAAGUGCCUCAGUUCCUUAUAACCAGGCAAGACUGGUGGAAGGUUGAAAACUAGGAAGGAUUAUCAGGAAACAGGAAAGGGAAGCCAUAUGGAAGAUUAAAAGUGAAAAUAUGAGAUGAACCAUCAUGUGCUUCUGGCUGGAGGUAUCUCAUGAUCCCCAGAGAAUAGAACUCUCUUCUUGCUGAGAAGUAAACUGAACCACAGCUCAUUCACCAGGAAAAUGGAGCACUUGCCUCAUAGAUGGUGAUGACUUACUAACGAGAGGCAGAAGCUGAAGCUGCACAUGCAUAAAAUCAGAAGCCUGAUUCAUCGGGACUACAAUCAGGCAGCUCAGGAUCUUUCCCAUGGGUUGUCAAAGUGCUCCUCUCUGGGAGGAACAGGCUGCAGCUUCAGCUGAACCCAGGAUCUCACUAUGUAGACAACACGAACUUUGAAUUCACAGAGAUCCUUCUCCUCUCAAGUAUUGGGAUUAAAGGAAUGUGUCACACUAUGCCCGGCUGCAGACUGUUAUUGCUUUAUAACAAAGUUGAUUUUAAAGGGAAUGCUUUAUAUGCUCAAUAUACACAUUAAUUCUUUUU